CUUGAAUUUGCCCAGUUAGCUGCAAGGGCAGUGUUCCAAGUCCUGCCUCCCUCCCAGAGGUGGCCAAGGGGUGUUUCCUGUGGCCAUAGAAACCCUAACAGCUCUCUUUGCAACAGUGUUCUGGGGAAGGGUUAUUUAGCUCUGGCCUCUAGAGCUCCAUCCAUCAAACGAUCCUUUUGAUAGGUCUGGGAGCACCAGGUCCGCUGUCCCUGUACAAUGGGUUGCCAUUCCAGCAAAGGUACCGAGGUGAUAGAGGACUCCCAGAAACCUGGAGAUCUCGCCGAUGGAGGAGAGCCGAAGAUGGAGCCUGGCACUGAGGCAGGGGAUGACAAGGACGCCUCAAUGAAGGAAGAAACCCCUGAGCUGAAAAGCUGACCUUCUUUAUUAAGUGAACCCUCAACUUAUCCCUGGAGCUGCCUUUGGCCUGUGAGGCCCCACCCAGAAGAGCUAUCCUAGGAGGGCAGAAAGAGCCCUGUUUAGGAUAUGACCUUCACAGGGCUUGCUCUCUGGCCUUGGGGAGAUGAAGGGUUAAGCUUGAAGCAGUCCUAUUUCUCCAGUGCUCUGUAAAGAGGACAAAGAACCGCUUCAUUCCUCUUGGGGCCUUUCCCACAGCCUCUGGAAAGAGAAAAACAUGCAGAUUGAUCCUCUGGUCCAGACUAUCUGCUUCCGGGCUGUGAAUGUCCAGCCAUAAUGUCUGCUUCCCUUCCCGGGACUCUGGAGGCUUCGUAGCCAUGACAUCAACUGGGACUAUGGAUUUUGGUUUGGUCUUAAUCUCUCUCCCUUUUUCCAACAGCUGAAUGAACAGCCAGCUCCCCGACAGGAAGCUUUUGCGUUUGGCUCUCUUCACCUUGUUUGCAUGAAUAAUUCAGUAUCUAGCUUACAGUCUCAUUAAUGAAUUAUGGGAAUGAUCAGUAUUGGGCAGGGAUUAUGAGAAUGGAUGGCAACAAGGCCUUGGGCUCACCGCAAGCAGAGUGCAGAGCGCUGGGAGGGGAGGGGAAACCCAGGUUUCCGGUUAUUAAAUGCUCAGAAAUGUCCGACUGCCACGUCUUCUGCUAUCAAAAGUCUGUCUAUUUGAACCGUUUAGCAUCCAAACUGUCUGUAUCUAGCCUUCAGAAAUGUUUUGCUGUUUCCUAACAAUGUGUGUGUCAGCCAGUCUCAUUUCCCUCUGAAUGUGUUUUGUUUUCAAUGCAACCCCCAAAGCAUUUUUCAUUUGAAAUCAAACAGACAUAUUUGCAGAUAAAUGAUGCCACAACACAUUUUAAAGAUGAGAUGGGGAUUCU
rnacentral:lncRNA from 1 species